AAAAAAAAAAAAAAAGACUAUUAGUACUUCGACCCCUGAGUGCCCGUGACCCUCAAGUGCCUCAGAACCAUUGGUAAAUGCGAGGUGGCCCCUGUAGUUUUGAAAGGCGGGGGAGCCUCCCCUCUUUCUCCAUUGAUGGGCAAGCAGGAUACCAGGGGGGCUGACUGGGCAAGCCCUCGAAGGCAGAGAGGACCUUGGCUCCAGAUUCCAGGCACUUAGUAAGCCAGAGGGUGGAACUCAAUCUCCUGCAGGCCAAGAAGGAGUUAAUCUCCAAGGAGAACUGGGCUUCUUCCAGACUAGAGGCCUGUGCCCAGCUUUGCAGCUGCCAACUCCGGGAAGAAGGCCUGGGAUCUGUAGUUUGUGUCACCACCCACCCUUGGCCCGCCUGUUUAUCAACACAGUGCUGGAGACUACAGUUCCCAGAAACCUGCCGAGGCCAGGCUUGGGGAGAAGGGGUGGGGUGUGAGGCUCUAAGGCGGCUGCAGGGAGAGGGAGAGGGGAAGAGGUGGGGAGAGAAAACCCAAUUCACUCCCUUUUUAAUUCUUUCUCCUGGUGUGUCUGCUCCACCGCCCGAGCUAAUCCCCCAAAUCCGGUCUCCUAAGCCGCAGCUGCUUCCCUUCGCUGUGAUGAAUGGCUCGGGGAGGGAAGGGCAGGCCCAGCCCCAGAGGAAGGGCAGAGGAGUCAGCUGGAGGCUGGGGAGACCUAACGGAUGUUGGGAGAAAGGGAACCUGUCACAGACUGAGAGCUGAUCAUCUGACGCCCCCUCCCGUGCCCCAGCCGGACAGCCACAGAUACCCCUCCUCCCUCCCCCACCCCCCUUUUCCCUGGGCUGUGUCAGCUCAGCCACCAGCCUGGGGUAAAUCCAGCCUCAGCCUCAACCUCAGACUGACUUGUGUGCCAGAGAAGAAAAUAUAGCCCUACCCAUCCAUGCUUACCUCCCAGCCCCUUCGCUCAGCAUAGGUGCUCAAUAAAAUAGCUUAUUGGUGAAAA